rnacentral:rRNA from 1 species
CAGCCGCCACGGUAAUACGAAGGGGGCUAGCGUUGCUCGGAAUUACUGGGCGUAAAGCGCACGUAGGCGGAUUGUUAAGUUAGGGGUGAAAUCCCAGGGCUCAACCCUGGAACUGCCUUUAAUACUGGCAAUCUCGAGUCCGAGAGAGGUGAGUGGAAUUCCGAGUGUAGAGGUGAAAUUCGUAGAUAUUCGGAGGAACACCAGUGGCGAAGGCGGCUCACUGGCUCGGUACUGACGCUGAGGUGCGAAAGCGUGGGGAGCAAACAGGAUUAGAUACCCGGGUAGUCCCUGUCUCUUAUAC